AUGUCUGGCCGUGACGCGCGCUGUUAUUUACUGUGGGGAGAGGCUUGUUGACGCACUCAGAUCUACAUACCAGUGUUCUUAGCUUCGUCCGCUCAUCUCUAAGCAGAUUCAACAACACAGGGAUAAGAAAUCAUGAAAAAGAUAAAUAUAGAAACAGCUAUACACAAGCCAAGCAUUCCAGUUCCAGCUGGAAAUCCAAGAGUUCCACUCCCAGCUCCAAAUAUGCCACGUCCAAAACCUCCACUUAAUCUGCCAGCUAGCAAAAAGUGACAGAAGGUGACGUGACUUCACGUGGUGGUCUUAGAAGAUGUCCAACUGGGAAACUGCCAUAUAUGUUUGAAAACACCAGACGCUUGUGUAGCAGUGUUUACAGGUGGGGGUGGGGGGGGGGGGGGGAGGGUGGGGGGGGGGGGGCGAGAGG